rnacentral:misc_RNA from 1 species
GCCGAAGGUCUCGCCGGCCUUCACCGGGCGCCCGCCGAUCUCCUCGAUCAUGCACACGUAGCCGCGCUGGUGGCACCACGCCUCGUACACGAUCCCGGGGUCGAGCGUCAUCCCCGCGAGCCACGGCCCGUCUUUCCCCGUUUUCGGGUCGCGGAUGUGGUACGCGCGGAUGAUCCGCUUGGGGAUCUGCUUGUCGUCGCGCGUGUAGAGGAACUUCUCGUCGGGUGCGAAGUCCUUCUCGAAAGCCUUCGACUCGAUCUUGCCGUGGUAGCUCAGGUACACCUCGCUGAACGUGUCGCCGUUCUUGUGCUUGAUGUGUCCGG